GGUGGCCGCUUCGCUCCGCCCGGUCGGACCCCCCAGGCGCGGGGGUUGCGGGGGCCGCAGGGAGUCUUAGUGAGAUGCUCCUUUUCAGCAGCUGCUUUAUAAGUGUUACUAAAAGUCUGCUGCCCUUAGACUUUACAAGGUUCUGACGUUAGAGAAAUCCGAAAGAAGUCAAUGGAAAAUGGAAACCACUGGCUGUCCCCACCUCCGACAGGAGCUGCUCUGUAUAUACUGUGUGCAUAUUUCUUUGAUGGGAAGGGUGUCGGUUUCUCUUGUAGUUAGACCAGUGACUGAUUCAUCCCUGAACCAUCUCUUCCUGUAAUUCACUGUUACUCCAUUCAGUUGAUUGUAUUAUAUGGAGCAGGGAGAAAUGCCAGGGCAAUACAAAGAGCGGAGAUUGAUAAAUUCCAUUUCAUCUGAAAAGUUUAUGUUGUUUAUUAUUUGUAGCCUUGUGAGGACUGUCCCUUAGGAACGCUAGUAAUGCACAAGAACUCUGUUUUGAUAGCUGCAGUACAAACUCAGACCUUGUUAUUUCAGAGUAAAAAGAGGAUUCCUGCCCCAAAAACAUAUGUACAGAAACAAGAGAUGGAAAGAACAAAUGGAGGAAGAAAUAACACAACAGUAUUGAUUAGCACAAUAUGCAGUCUUUGCAGCAAAAUUAGUUGGAAGUGUCAUUUAAGUAUAGCUGUAAUCUAACAGGUUUUAUCAGAUUUAGAAGUGACAUUUCAUUAAUUUGGCCCAAAGCUUUUACCUAUGCUUUAUCAGCCCAGGCACAAAAUAUAAGCUCCAGACAACACUUGCUUGGGGUUUCCUUGGCCCAAUAACUAGUUUGGCCCUGAUAUGGUUGUGCUGAUACCCAAAUGUGCUGAUAACCUGCUAAAGAGAUGUUUCCAGCCACUGGAUUGCUGCUCACCCUGAGAGUAUUUUCUCGGUCCUGUUCAUUUCAUCACUUUAAUUGUUUUGCUAUAGAAAUUUUGGGGAAAAGGUCUUGAAGGAAUGUAUGGACACAAUAUUUAAUGCCAAUGGCGUAAAUGAGACACUUGUGGCCAUUCUCAGGAAAAAUCCAAAGGUCUGUGGACUCAGGCUACCAAAUAUUUCAUUCAGCCUGUUGCAGAAGUAUUUCUUUUCCAGCUGAGUAUGCAGGUGCUGUUUUCUUCUUACACAAUGAUAUGUCUAGGUCUGAGCUGUUUUUUAAGCCUUCAUUCCUAAUCAGAAGUUCACGUGAUGUUCUUGCCACUGUUUCUUACUGAUGUCCUUAGAGAAAGUCCCGUCUAACGAGAGGGAGCAACCUCUAAAAUCUCAUUAGAUUUAUUCUCUCUUCUCAGCAGAGCUAUUACCAGCCUGCUUUUUGUCAGCAGUUUGUGAACCAACUCAUCCAUGCAGUCAUCCUCUCAUAUGGGAAGAGACACAUGAUUCUCUUUUAUGUUGCUUCAUAUGCAGCCAUGCUACAGGUGAGCCAAACCGACUGGUUCGGAAAUUAAAGAGUGAGCUUUAUGGGGAGGACUUCAGCACAAGUCUGAUUUUCGCUUUAAAAAAACAACUGCUGUUAUUCCCCCAUUCUGAAUCUGUGAGCUGUAACUUCCAGAAAAGCAAGUCAGCACCUCUGGAAGUGGCAGGUGCCUUUCUGAUCCAUUAAUUUGUGUUUAGGAUCAAUAAUGCACCCCUGUCUCCCAUUUGGCAGUGCUAUGUAAUACGCUGUAGGCUAUUCUCCAUUACACCACCCAACCAGAAAUGAAGAUGAUAUGUAGAUUUCUUCAGUGAAGCAAGAGCUCAGUAUCUGGAGCAGAACUGAGAACUCAACCCUUAUCUUUAUCUUGAUAAAAGGAAAAUUCUUCCCCACAUGUUUCAUAAGGCAGUGGAGUAUAAAAAUAGGACUGAACCCAAGUUACAGUUCAAUCAGACAUCGGCCACUCGGAUCAUUACAAUAAAGUUGAAAUGGUCUGUUCAGGUCUGACAGUCAGAAGACCUUAGACCUUAAAUUCUGAUAUCCAUUUCCCUUGUAUCCAUUUCCCUAGUACCCAUUCCCCUAGAAAAGCUAUCCAGAAAAUUGCAUAAGUCAGAUUGUAUUGGUGAAAAUGAAUUAUUUUAUAAUACAGCAAUCAGUUCAGAAAAGUCUAAGCAACUGCUGUUCUAAGAACGAAUAAUACUUUGUCAUGAUACCUUUCCAUCACUGAAAUUCUUCAUCUCACUGAUAUUUGCAAAUGUAUGUACAGUACUUGGAAUUCAGACAAGAACUACCAGUGUAUAAAAUGACAAGGUUCCUCUGACAAGGUGCUGCAUUAAAAAUCGUAUUUAUGUGGGGGGAACUAUGUAACUUAUCUUGUAUUUAUGUACCUUCAGGUUUUGUGCGCAGCCGCUCCUUGUUAAUUUAAAAGGCGGCCACAAGACACGAUCUUUCUUAAAUAAGUGUUCCUUUGUUUUUGUGAAUAACAAACAGAGUUCUGCAAAUCUCUAUAACAUGUUUUUGGCAAAUUACACAAAUGCUUGAUUAGUACUAUGGAAGUAUUCAGAAGAGCAGAAUAUAGGGCACUGUAAUUUCGUACUGCCAAACCAGGAGUUCAAAAAUCAUGAGUCAGAUAUCUUAAAAUUAUAAACCUAGUUUAAAAUUAUGAGCUUAAAAAACAUAUGUGGCUUUGUUCACCUUCUGGCUUGUUAAUCUUUAGCAUAUGUUCAGAUUACACUUUUAGGAUUUUCCAUGUAAUUGGCAGAUCUAAUUUUUUUUAAUACAUAAAAUAGCUGAUUACACCAUCUCACAACUGAAACCAGGCUGCCGCAGGUUAAUUAGACUCAAUAAAAUCAUGGAAGUUGUCAACACUGAUUAAACUACUGCUUGAUGUUUCAAGGAAUAAUUAUUUUAUAGUUAAGCGGUUUUAAAGCACAUUUAUUUACAUAGACUUCUGACAGUUUGCUGAGGCAUGAUUAAAAGCUGAGGUUAGUAUCACUAGUGCUAACUAGAUAAACUGGUGUGCUGUGCAUUUAAGGGAGUCAGUUCUUUAUUCCCUCCUGUAACUGCAGCCUCCUUUUCUUGCACUCAAUGCCAGCUCUACUGACAGUCAUAAGCAAGUGACUUUAAAGCAGAGAGUUUGCAAGUAAUCACAGAAUCAGAUCAGAAAAGGACCUCAAUAGGUCACUUAGUCUCAUUUUGUGUUUAACCAAAAUCUCCUUUCUUGCAAUUUAAUGCAAUUAUUUAUUCAUAUUGACUGUGGAUAUGAGAAACAGUUGUGCUGUUUUUCUUUGCAACCAGCUUUUACAUAUAUGAAAAUCAUUGUGUUUUCCCUCCACCAUCUCUUCUGUAAAAUUACAUAAAAUCAUUCAGCCUGUGCUCAGGGAAGAGAAGUUUUCUGUUUUCAGACAUUCAUUGCUUUCUUCUGGAUUCUCUGCAUGCACCCUGUAUCUUAGUUUUCAAGUGCUAUGAUCAAAACUGGAGACAUCACCAGCUCAUGCCUUUGUGGUUCUGAAGGAGCAGAUUUAUACCCCAGUUCAGACAUUUCAGUUUUUACCUUUUUUUUUGCAACAGCAGGAUGCUGCAGACUCAUUUUCAGAAUCUGAUUGAGAAUAACCCAUUGAUUCUUUUCCAGGGAAAAUAAGAAGGUAGAUUUAGUUUAGAUGUAAGGAAGAAAUUCUUCACUAUGAGGGUGGGGAGGCCCUGGCACAGGUUACCCAGAGAAGCUCUGGCUGCCCCAUCCCUGGAAGUGUUCAAGGC